ACUCAAAUGAAUUGACGGGGGCCCGCACAAGCGGAGGAACAUGUGGUUUAAUUCGAUGAUACGCGAGGAACCUUACCUGGGCUCGAACGUGAGAGGAAUUAUGUUGAAAGAUGUAAGCCAGCAAUGGCCUCUUACGAGGUGCUGCAUGGUUGUCGUCAGCUCGUGCCGUGAGGUGUCGGCUUAAGUGCCAUAACGAGCGCAACCCUUAUUGUUAGUUGCCAGCGGGUAAUGCCGGGGACUCUAACAAAACUGCCAGCGUAAGCUGUGAGGAAGGCGGGGAUGACGUCAAAUCAGCACGGCCCUUACGUCCAGGGCUACACACGUGUUACAAUGGGUGGUACAGAGGGCAGCUACUUCGCGAGAAGAUGCUAAUCUCGAAAGCCAUUCUCAGUUCGGAUUGGAGUCUGCAACUCGACUCCAUGAAGUUGGAUUCGCUAGUAAUCGCGCAUCAGCCACGGCGCGGUGAAUACGUUCCCGGGCCUUGUACACACCGCCCGU
rnacentral:rRNA from 1 species